GAUGAACGCUAGCUACAGGCUUAACACAUGCAAGUCGAGCGAAGCACCUUACUUGAUUUCUUCGGGAUGAAAGUAUUGUGACUGAGCGGCGACGGGUGAGUAACGCGUGGAUAACCUGCCUCAUACAGGGGGAUAACAGUUAGGAAUGGCUGCUAAUACCGCAUAAGCGCACAGGACCGCAUGGUCUGGUGUGAAAAACUCCGGUGGUAUAAGAUGGAUCCGCGUCUGAUUAGCUGGUUGGUGGGGUAACGGCCCACCAAGGCGACGAUCAGUAGCCGGCCUGAGAGGGUGAACGGCCACAUUGGGACUGAGACACGGCCCAG
rnacentral:rRNA from 1 species